UAUCACUGUGCCAGAUAUUUUUUCUCGCUCCUUCUUUCGAUUUCCCGAACCCAAAGGAAGUUUCUCCCUCUAUGCAGACUAUGCCUCACUCAAGGAGACACAUCGUUUCUCUCUCAAUCUUCCCUUCAAUUUUUAUUCCUGCGAUUUCAGUUCAAUGAUCGCAUUUCAUAGUUUGAUUCUACUACGCAUUUGAUCAAUCAUCGCUCGACUUUCACACAAAAUUCGAUUCAUUUUCGAAGAGUUUUGAUGAUUUUUCUGGUUUCAAUUUUACUCGCGCCUUCAAUCGCUUUUCUAGGGCAACGAUUUUGCUGAUCAGAGUUAUACGGACUUGCAUUGAAGGAUUCUAUCAUCUUAAUUCAUCGCCGAACUCGUAAAAUCGAAUCCUUCAUUGGUGAAUGAGGAGAGUAUUGAGGAAAGCAAUUUGGAACAUACGUUACUCUUUAUUUGCUGGUUACAACUCACAAUUUCUUUGUCAAUUCACAAUCAGAUGGUCCCUGUCUUCUUCCAUAGUCAGUGUGCACAUUUUGCGCCUGUUGACCAUGUACCUAAGUUAAGAAAGUGCGGGAACACACUCCAAUCCCAUAUAAUCUGGAUAUUAAUUGUGCUGAGUUUCUUGCACGAAGAGAUCUGAAGGUAAGAAUAAGUACUUCAAAUAUGGAACACAUUAACUUCUUUGUUCUUCUCUUCAUUACAUGAUGAUGACUUAUUAUUUUUACGAAGUUUUGGAUCUAUGCCACUAUCUAAUAAUAGGAGCAGAAGGUUGGGACCUUGGGAAUUUGACCAAGAUAGGUGUAUUUCCAACUAAGCCACCUCGUCUAGUACAGUUGUAGUCUGCUGCAGCAAAAAAAUGAAAGAAUUUGGGGUCAAAGUUCUGUGAGUGGAAUAGGCACUGCGGUUUAAAGUUGUUUCUAGUAAGUCAUGUACCCCAACUUGACAGCUCCUGAUGAUGCAUGAUUUUGCUGCUGUGGCAGACUAAGCUGUAGAUGGAUAGGUCCAUUUGAAUCAUCUUCCAUUUCUUCACCUUCAAUGAGCAUGGCACCGUUGGCUGCACUUGUAUCUCCAUUCCCGUAAACCUGAAAAAUAAACUCAUGGCAAUUUUUAUCUUCUUAUACAGUAACAUUUUUCCCAUUUAAGAAUGUGUGCAUUUUUCUUAGCAAACAAUUACCCUUUUGUGCAGUUCUAUAUUUUCUUGACGAAUAAGAUUUGCCUUUUUGUAUAGCUCCAGAUUUUCUUGGUGAAUCAGCUCCCUCUGUACCAAUGUCACUGAAUAUUAGGCUGAAAUUUCAGUGGGAUUGAUUCGAUGGAUCAGACGUGUGCUAUUUCCUAGAGCUGUCGUCUUAGAUCAAUAGAAAGGAGGCCAUGCUAGCUUGUCCAUUUGAAGUUUGUGUUGCCUUUACCACGAUUUUGAUCUAGGGAUUACUGAGAUGAAGCGGAUGGGGUGACUAAAAUUUAAAUGGUAUGUUUGGGAAACAGGAGCACUGCUAGCCAAAAAGAAAUUCAGUGCCAGUAUUAGAGCUAAUCCUUGAAUAAGGGGAACCACCAUAGUCCAUCAGUUGGGCUCAAUAGGAUAAUUAAGAGUUUACAAAGAUUUGUAUCUCACAUUUCUUGGCGAUGAUUGCUUCAAUACUGCUGGAGCUCUCGGCCUACACUAAUCCAUUCUACUACGCUAGCUAAACUAGGUCAAACUUUUGCGGGAAACAUAAUCAAGAAUAUGAACAUAACGUCGAAAGCACCUUUGAGAAAAUAAAUGCGAAAUCCUGACUGACAUGUCGCUAGUUUUCAAUGAAAAAAUUCCUUUUGCAACUUGCAAGUUGGCACUGAGGGAACUCGGGGAACACACAUAUCUGAAGUUAUAAAGAGACUCCUCCUUCCGGUUGUUGUUGCUGGUUACAGAUGUGAACGGUACCUGUCAUAACUGAUGCAAUAGCAGCUAUAGUUCUGAUAAAAUGACGCAACUAAGUUCCAUAAGAAUGAACCAGCUAAGAAGCUUUCCUUCACAAUGACAUUCAACACAGCUUCCUGAAGUAGCAGACUGAUUACAGAGUUUCAAUGAGUGUGUUGAAACAAAUUUUACGAGCUACGGACAGAAUAACAGCACAUCUUUAUCAUAACAUCUGGAUGUUUCAUAUGUUUGCCUACUGAAGGGUGAGUCUUUGAAAUCCUUUUCCACUGUAAAUCCUACUGGGGGGAUUGUUUGUGCUAUGAUUACGGCUGGCAAAAUCUGACCCGACUUUAUAGCACGACCCGAAAAUAGCGGGUUGGGGUUGAAAUUUUCAACCCGGUUAAUUAUAUGGGUCAACAUGAACCCACCUGAACUUAAAUGGGUUAGGUUAAGGUUGGAAAUCUCAACCCUAAACCAACCUUGUAACCCGAUUAUUUAUAUGGGUCAAAAUCAGGUUGCAUAACCCGAAAUAAGUUCUUUUAAAAAUUAAAAUUAUAAAAUAGUCUAAUAAUCUGACAUUUUAGAAAAGUCAAAAUUUAUUAUCAUAAAAAAUAAAAAAUAAAAAUAGAAAUUUAAAAGGAGAAAAGAGUGCCUCAUUAGCCAAGCCCAAAGUUACCAUCACUUUCUUACCCUAAAUUUGCUAACUUCGUGGAUUUUACCAGUCACUGUCUCAGUAUCUCUUUUCUCAAUAAUCAGACACUCUCUGUCUCUCCCAAAUUGUGCGUUGCUCCUCUGCUGUACCGCUUCCUCUUCACUGGGUAACGUUUUUAGUUCUUUAUUUUUAUUUUCUUUGUUAUUCUUCCUCUAAUUUUCUACUCAAAUAUUCAAAAUUGACAAUUUAUCUCGAAAACGUGAUAUGGGUUUUGAAUUGUGCAUAAUAAAAUCAUAGUGAAACGAUAGUUUAACUAGAAUCUUAGAUUGUGUAGUUGCAUUAAUAAAAUCUAACCUGUAAACUUUUACAUUAUAAUUGUGAAAUGAACAUUAUUAUAAGUUGAUGAAGAUUACGGAAAUAUAGAAAGUAAGUCAAUUGUUGAUUUGGCGGAAUUCCAUAGUUGUGGAUUAUGGAAAUUUUAUACGCCCGUUGAUAGUAAUCCGUUUGGGUUUAUAAUUUUAUGUGCUUAAAUUUUAUGCACAAUUUUACUCUGAAAUUGGGAUAAAGAAAAUGGAGCAUGAACAAAAAAUUUAAUUAAUUAAAUGUUUUCCAAAAAUUCGUCUUUAGAUAUUCGUCCCUGUUUACCUUAAAUAAAAGUGUCCGAUACUGUUUUUGGAGUAUCCAAAACUUAUAAAAUUUGGAUACGCAAUACACGUCGUUCUAUGUGGAUACGACCCAUACGAAAUUUGGGUUAUUGGAAAUUUUCAUGCGUUGAGUUUAGAAAUUUAGGCUAUUAGGCCCAAAAACAAAUAACAAUUAAAUUUUCACCCCCAAAUUUCGUCAGUGACGGCUUCAUUCGACUCGUUUCCUUCCGGCUUCCUUCCCUCCACCGGAGUCAGGUAUCCAUUCAUUUUAUCAUGUUUGGAUUAUUAUUAUUAUUUUAUUUUUUACAACAUGCUUUUAAGUUAUAAAUUAGGGUUCAAUUUGAUAUUUUUUGGUUGCUGAUUCUUUGACCUUUUCGUCCGACGAAAUUCGAAACUUAGAAUUAGGGUUUCAAUUGCUGCUGGGAAUUCAAAGCAUUUUUAUGUAUAGUAAGUAUAGGGUUUGGAAUCAUCCUUUGAACACACUUAUGGCUUUGAUUUACCUGCAGCAGUUGAAACCCUAGUUCUAAGUUUUGAAGGGGUGGAAAUUUAAUUGUUAUUUGUUUUGGGGCCUAAUAGCCCAAAUUUUGUAAUUUCCAAGCAUGAAAAUUUUUAAUAGCCUAGAUUUCUGAACCUGGAUAUGACAUUUUCUUUAUAAAAUGGGUUGUAUCAGCGUAUCCAGUAUUUAAGGAAGUUUUGGAUACUCCAAAAACAGUAUCGGGCACUCCUUUUUUAAGGUAGGGAGGAAUAUCUACCCAAUAUGCCUCAGGGACCCAUGCGGUAUAGAUCUACACCGUUUUUACCAAAUAUGGAGGUUGUGUGACUCGGCUUCGGAAGCAUCUAAAAUUUUGGAAAAUUUUAACCACGGCCAUUAUGGAAGUUCGGAAUCAUAAACCUCACUUGUUGGUCAAAGGUACGAAAUGAGAGACCUUGCUUCGACAAUAUGCAAAUUUAAGAAAAUAGCAAUAGAAUGCGGAACUAGAGAGAAGCAAUGAAGGAGAAGAAAGCGAGAUUUUCUCGUGGAUGACUACAUAAUUUCCCCUUAUCCGACAACAUGCAUUUUUUAGAAAAUCGCAAUAGAAUGUGGAACUAGAGAAAAGCAAUGAAGCAGAAGAAAGCAGAGAUUUUCUCGUGGAUGACUACAUGAGAUAAAUCGUUUCAUGUAGCUUAAUGCCAUCUUUUUUCUAUGGUUGUUUUGUUAUAUUAUUAUGUUUGGUUAUAAUAUCUAAAGCGUGAGGGUUUUUGGUGCCCUUGUAGUUGUUUGUUGGAUAAUGUAAAAUUCGCUUUAGCAAAUGUAAAAAACAACAUUAUAGUUGCUUCGAAACCUAAAGUUUUUCAAGUAAUGUUGAAUUUUCAUAGGUAGGUCA